ensembl:lncRNA
AUGAUCAUCAAAGCUGAGAGUCAGCCACCAUUACUGUGGAAGAUGCAUCAGCACAAGAUGAUUUUGCAUGUAGGACAUUGUCAUUUUGAGCAAAGGCAAACAUAUUCCUGGAAAGAGCAAGAAGAAAUUACAACAAUGAGAAGGUGUGGAACCCUUUUUUAUGUGUUCAAAUAUUAUUUUAAGCAUAAAUAACAUUAAAGAACCCAUAAUAGUGUUUCAGUCAACUUAGGUUUUUAGUUGCAAGUAUAUAAAUA